AUACGUAGGGUGCAAGCGUUGUCCGGAAUUAUUGGGCGUAAAGAGCUCGUAGGCGGACUUGUCGCGUCUGCUGUGAAAUCCCGGGGCUCAACUCCGGGUCUGCAGUGGGUACGGGCAGGCUAGAGUGCGGUAGGGGAGAUUGGAACUCCUGGUGUAGCGGUGGAAUGCGCAGAUAUCAGGAAGAACACCGAUGGCGAAGGCAGAUCUCUGGGCCGCUACUGACGCUGAGGAGCGAAAGCAUGGGGAGC
rnacentral:rRNA from 1 species